rnacentral:piRNA from 1 species
UGUGGUAUCAUCAGAGACACCUACUGAGGU